rnacentral:lncRNA from 1 species
UGCAAGUCCAGGGAAAGUGAGAAGUGUUUUGUUGUUGGAAGCAUCUGUUUACAGCAAGAAUUCAAGGACGAAAUCCUCAUGUGAUGCUUAGUGUCCAUGCUGCUCUCCUGGGGGUCAUGAGCAACGUGACUGAUGGCCUUGGCUGACUGCAACUGACACCAAGGGAUCUUUUCUGAAUGAGACACUAGGGAAGCAAUAAAUAUCAGCUGUAAGGAUGGGGAUGUCUUUGUAGUCCUGGCUCACUAAAAGUGAAUAAGCAAUGCAAAUCCCUAGGCAGCUCAGCACCUCCCAGGAUGGGGGAAUGUGGUCUGCAGUGCUCUUGUGUAUGCUUUGCUUUGGAUUUGGUGAGAUAUCUUUGCAGAUGUGCCUGCACAUCUGCAACACAAUGCCAGCAAAACCUGGGUACUUGAACUUUUAUUUAAAGUAGAGCAUUUUUCUCAUUUUUGGCCUGAAAGUUUUCAGAUUCCAUUCUCUGUAGUUUAGCUGAGGACCCCGGCAGUUCACCCCUGCUCUUGUGAUGGCUGGCAAAAUUAAGCAGAUGUCUACGGUUUUUAUUUGCUCAAUGAUUCUUCAGAGCAGACAUAAAUAAACAAAGAUAUUACUACGAUAUUUAGAAUUUU